rnacentral:lncRNA from 1 species
CGCGCGCUCCCGUGGCUCGGCCGGUCGCCACUGGGCGGCCGCCGCCCGCGUCUGGAUGCGCAUCCGGGACCCCGCGGGGGAGCGCGCGCCCACGGCCCGGCUGGUCGCUCCAGUGAGACAGCCGUCGCGUCAGGCUGCCAGACUUGGACCCCUCGGGGAGCGCGCGCGGGCCACCGAGAGCUCCACUGCUGAAGUCGGAACCCCUACCCCCGGACUGCCACAGAGCGGUGAGCUCUUUGGCAGAUGGGAGGGACUGAUCACAGUCCUGAGACGCCCCGAAGCGCAGUCCCCUUUGAGAUGUUAUGAAGAAUGUGCUAACGGAGCCAGACACUAAGACUGCUCUAUUGAAAUCAUCUAGUAUAUUGUAUCCAUUUGUCUUCUAUGGAUAUACAAUUCAAAAAGAUCAAAGGUCCUUGCCGUUAUAAUUUAAGGAUCUGAGAUGAGCUCAUCUAGGUAGUCCUCAAAGCCAAGGGCAAGCAUCUUUAUGACAGAGAUGGAGACAAGGAUGAAGGAAAAGGACGUGUGCAGAUGGAAUCCAAGACUGUAGUUAUGUUACCACAAAGCAGAGAACACUUGAAGUCACCAGAAGCUGACCCAGUCUCAGCAUGAUUUUUGUAAGGGGCAUACUUAAACCAUAACAGAGAAAGCAAUAUGACCAUGGAAAUGGAAAAGGUGGAGACUGGAAUGACUCCAUAUCAGGACUCAACCUGUCACUACUGACUUUGAAGAUGGAAGGAACCUAAAAGCCAGAAACAGUAUGUGGCCUCUAGAGGACAGAAAAAGUAAGGAAGAGUUUGUUUUCUCCAGAGCCUCUAGGAAGGAAUUGGGCCCUGUGGACAACCAACUGGAUUUUAAACUGUGUAACAGCUCUGAUCUGCCAGCCUAUAGAAGAGUAAAAUGAUG